CAGGUCAGCAUACUGCCGUGAAUACGUUCCCGGGCCUUGUACACACCGCCCGUCACACCAUGAGAGUUGGGAAUACCCGAAGCCUGUGAGCUAACAUUUAUGGAGGCAGCAGUCGAAGGUAGAAUCAAUGAUUGGGGUGAAGUCGUAACAAGGUACC
rnacentral:rRNA from 1 species